rnacentral:rRNA from 1 species
UACGGAGGGUGCAAGCGUUAUCCGGAUUUACUGGGUUUAAAGGGUGCGUAGGUGGGUUGGUAAGUCAGUGGUGAAAUACUUUCGCUUAACGAAGGAACUGCCAUUGAUACUACCAGUCUUGAAUACAGUGGAGGUGGGCGGAAUGCGUCAUGUAGCGGUGAAAUGCUUAGAUAUGACAUAGAAUACCAAUUGCGAAGGCAGCUGGCUACACGAAUAUUGACACUCAGGCACGAAAGCGUGGGGAUCAAACAGU